rnacentral:rRNA from 1 species
AAGGGUGAGUAAGGCGACGGUAACCAACCCCAAGAUUGGGUAUAGCCGCGGGAAACCGCGGGUAAUCCCCAGCGACGCAACGACACCGGCAUCGGUGUUUUGCCAAAGCUUCGGCGUCUUGGGACGGGCUGUCGUGGUAUUAGCUUGUUGGCGGGGUAAUGGCCCACCAAGGCAUCGAUGCCUACCGGGCGUGCGAGCGUGGCCCGGCACACUGGGACUGAGACACUGCCCAGACUCCUACGGGAGGCUGCAGUCGAGAAUCUUCGGCAAUGGGCGCAAGCCUGACCGAGCGACGCCGCGUGGAGGAUGAAGGCCUUCGGGUUGUAAACUCCUGUCGAGGGGGAAAAAGGGUUGAAAGACCUUGAUUGAUCCCUGGAGGAAGCACGGGCUAAGUUCGUGCCAGCAGCCGCGGUAAGACGAACCGUGCGAACGUUAUUCGGAAUCAUUGGGCUUAAAGCGCGUGUAGGCGGGUUCGUGCGUCUAUCGCUGAAAUCCCCCGGCUCAACCGGGGAAGUGGCGUGGAUACGACGAGUCUGGAGGGGCAUAGGGGGACCUGGAACUUCCGGUGGAGCGGUGAAAUGCGUUGA